rnacentral:rRNA from 1 species
UACGUAGGGGGCAAGCGUUGUCCGGAUUUAUUGGGCGUAAAGCGCUCGCAGGUGGUCCGCUGCGUCGUGCGUGAAAGACCCCGGCUCAACUGGGGGAUGUCGUGCGAUACGGGCGGACUGGAGGCCAGUAGGGGGAUGCGGAAUUCCGGGUGUAGCGGUGAAAUGCGCAGAUAUCAGGAGGAACACCGAUGGCGAAGGCAGGUCUCUGGGCAUUAACUGACGCUGAGGAGCGAAAGCAUGGGGAGCGAACAGG